rnacentral:rRNA from 1 species
GAUGAACGCUGGCGGCGUGCCUAACACAUGCAAGUCGAGCGAUUCUCUUCGGAGAAGAGCGGCGGACGGGUGAGUAACGCGUGGGUAACCUGCCCUGUACACACGGAUAACAUACCGAAAGGUAUGCUAAAACGAGAUAAUAUGCUUUUAUCGCAUGGUAGAAGUAUCAAAGCUUUUGCGGUACAGGAUGGACCCGCGUCUGAUUAGCUAGUUGGUAAGGUAACGGCUUACCAAGGCGACGAUCAGUAGCCGACCUGAGAGGGUGAUCGGCCACAUUGGAACUGAGACACGGUCCAAACUCCUACGGGAGGCAGCAGUGGGGAAUAUUGCACAAUGGGCGAAAGCCUGAUGCAGCGACGCCGCGUGAGCGAUGAAGGCCUUCGGGUCGUAAAGCUCUGUCCUCAAGGAAGAUAAUGACGGUACUUGAGGAGGAAGCCCCGGCUAACUACGUGCCAGCCGCCGCGGUAA